UUUUCAGCUUUUCAUCUUUCAAAAAGAAAAAAUUCAAAAUCAUUACAAAAAGUUUUGGCUCAACAAACGAACCUAAAUUUCCAGUCUAUACUUUUUUCAAAGGCUAAAAAAGGUACGCUCUAGGCAAACGCAUACAAAAUGUGUUCUGGUUGUAGCCCUUGCUGUAGUCCUUGCUGCUGCUCGCCAUGCGUCUGCCCCUGCAGGUACCUGAAGUGUACGGAUUUCUGCUGCCGCUGGCCAUGUCCAUGCAAGGCUCAUUGCUAUAAUACGCCACCCAAGUGUUGCUGCUAAGCAGUAACAUACGAAAUGCUGCAAUGGAGCUUGUCGUCAGAACUAAUUUUAGUCAAAUAUUUAGUAUACUAUGCUUUUGGAUUAAGAAGUUUUAAGUGAAAAUAAAGUAAAAUUUUGGAAUAAA